rnacentral:rRNA from 1 species
GACGAACGCUGGCGGCGUGCCUAAUACAUGCAAGUUGAGCGCUGAAGGUUGGUACUUGUACCAACUGGAUGAGCAGCGAACGGGUGAGUAACGCGUGGGGAAUCUGCCUUUGAGCGGGGGACAACAUUUGGAAACGAAUGCUAAUACCGCAUAAAAACUUUAAACACAAGUUUUAAGUUUGAAAGAUGCAAUUGCAUCACUCAAAGAUGAUCCCGCGUUGUAUUAGCUAGUUGGUGAGGUAAAGGCUCACCAAGGCGAUGAUACAUAGCCGACCUGAGAGGGUGAUCGGCCACAUUGGGACUGAGACACGGCCCAAACACCUACGGGAGGCAGCAGUAGGGAAUCUUCGGCAAUGGACGAAAGUCUGACCGAGCAACGCCGCGUGAGUGAAGAAGGUUUUCGGAUCGUAAAAAUCUGUUGGUAGAGAAGAACGUUGGUGAGAGUGGAAAGCUCAUCAAGUGACGGUAACUACCCAGAAAGGGACGGCUAACUACGUG